AGCCUCUGUGUGUUCAUCUUGCCAGCAGUCCUCUCCCACAUCCUGGUGGCCUGGGGCAGCGGGGCGCAGGGCAGAGCCUGCCGGGGCCCCUUCUCUUGGGGCGCCUUCCUCCGAGGCAGCCUUGUGCCAGAGGCUGUGCCCCAGGGCUCGCUCAGAGGGGGAGAGUUGGGCACAAAGGCAGUCCUGCUGGCUAGAAAAGAGAAGGAAAACUGUGCAAUUUAAGGGGUGCCCACUGUUAUUGUGUGUAAAAGCUUUUUUUUUGUUUUUUUUUUUUGUUUUUUGGAAUUUUUUCCUUUGCCUGAUACUAUUCUGCAGUGUGCAUUAUUCCAGGGAAGGGAAGAGAUCCGAUAGUACAGCCUGCCUCACUGCUCCAGACGGUAACUGGUCCUUGGCAUUGCAGAGUAAACGUGUGGGAUACAGGACUCUACUCAGCUUGGAACCCUUGGAACUGCAGCCCAACAGAAAACUCCCAUCUCAGAUUUGGCCAGGAUGACUUCAAGGCAUUUGUCUGAGUUUGCACAGUUGAAUGGUGUGGAGGACAGAGCCAUGGUGGGGAAAAGAAUGAAGAACAAUUAGAAGAUGUGAUAUCCAGGGAGCAGCAUGGGAAAUUCAGCCAGAGCUGAAGAUUGCCCAACUCCAAAGCCCGUGGCUAAAGACCCAGCUGCCUGCUGCCGUUAUCACCAUUAUGCCUUGUGCUGAAAGGAAGCAACUGCUUUGUGAAGUCGGUGGAAGUACGCCAGUGCUCAACCAGCUGGAGACCUGGCCCAUGCUUGGCUUCAGCUGAGUGGACUUCAAGCUCUCCUGUCUUGGCUUAAUAAACUGGCCCUACAGAAGCUGACCUGGAUUGAUUUCCUCUUUGCUAAGAGAAGCGGAUCAUGGUUGGAUUUCAUGACAUUUCUGCGGGUUCGUACAAAAUGUACCACAUGGUUUGACACAACUGGAAGCUUUGGGUUGUAUGGGUGCAACUCCUAUUCCCUUCAGACUAUGGCCAUGGAGGAAUUUCAGAUCUCUGCUCCAGAGUCACCGUGAGCUUGGUCUGCUUUCAGCUGUUCCGCUCUGCGUAACUAGCUGGUGAGCCUCACUGGCCCAGCAGCCUUGGCUGCUCAUCCCUUCUGAGCCAGCAAAUGUAACUGCCAGUACUCAGAUGGACUUGUUAAGGCUGGGAAGGACUGGUCAGCUUUCUUGAUUCACCUUUAAAUGUUUUGGAUCUCCAAAUCUGGAUCAUCAUUCUGAUUUGAGCCUGUCAUUGCCUGGAGACGAGUCAAAUCCUAUUUGCAGGUGACUGAAAAACACUUAAUGGACAGGCAGGUCCCAUGUUACUUGGGAGUGUCCAUGGAACUGACUAGCAAGGAGUACUUUGAAAGCAAAUUCCACUUUUCCUUCUCAAGGAAGGAAAUAUUUCUGUUCCUAGCAGCUGUGUUUAGCUGUGGUCAUGGCUAGCAUGCCCUUCUUCCAACGGAGACAAGACAAGACAACUUUCUUGGUCUUUGGGCCUGAAUGUCAGCUAUUUAACAGUGGCAAGGUAGUUUUUCCAUGCAAUCUUUGCUAAACCACUCAGAAACCUUGAGGAUUUUUUUAUUUAAAUAACAUGAUCUCUUGCAGCAGUGUGAGUGAGAGCUCUCCCAGAGACAGCGUAUGCAUGUGUAGUCUGUGGGAACACUGUGAUUUCAGAAUUGCCAAAACAAACAACAGGUGCCUGUGUUAUUUUGCAAGUAGGAGCUCCUCAAAUGUCAGACUUUGGCAGAGAAGAUGCUUCCUUACAACACCCAUCUUUUUACCCCAAAGGCCCCUGGAAACCUGGGUGGUGUAUUUAUGGUAAAGAAUGCAGAGUUAGAAAAUAUUUUGAAUCACCUUUGAUGAAGAAGUCUUUAAAGUGCCUUCUCAGCUACUUGUUCAGCUGCUUUAUUUUUGCUUUCAGCAGAAGUAUGGAUCUGUAUCAGGUUUAAGAAUAACUGGGGAAGGCCCAGUGACUCAGAGAACUCAUAAUAGCCUUUUUCCCUAAGGGCUUGGCUAAGCUACUCCGCAGAACUUUGUAUGGGUGUAGUUACGCCGAGGUCGCUGUACCAGUACAAACCUGUGGUGCAGAAACAUGACAAGAUUGGAAAAAAUGCCUACACAGAUGCAAUUAGCCCUCAUCCGGGAACUGUGCGGGUUGCAGUGAUGUCCAAGCAGGAUUUGUCAUGGUGGUGGCUAACGUUAGGCCUGCUGCAGAGAUGCGAGACUGCACAGCGCACUUCCUAGAACAAGACCUUUUUUACUCUUUUUUACUUCUCUAGGGGAGAAAUUACCAGCCAAUGACUCUUCUGUGAGCAAGUAAAACUAUGAAGCGAUCUCCCUCUGUGCCUAAGAACCAUCUUGUGCCUCAGGAGCCAGCCACCCCAGGAUGGCUUUUGGAGGAGGCAGGGAGAUCUCGGGGGCCUCCAUGCAGCAUCAGGUGGAGGCUUUUCCACAGCCUCCAACCUGUGUCAGCCUGGCCUAUAACCGCGUGCUACCAGCUGCAUUUUAAAAGGAGGAAAGAAAAGAGCUGACGCGAGCUGGAGCUGCUUUAAGGUGGAACUGAAACCAUAGCUUGUGGCUGUCUGAAUCAGUUCCCUCGUUUCAUAAAUUUGACUCAGUGCUGAAUAUUUCAGAGCAUCAGAAAGAAAAGACUUAUUUCAAUUUUGGUACUAAUAAUGGCCAAAGGUCACGGCAGCUGGGAGGAGAGGGAAAAUGAAAGGCAUGGGCUCAUCUAUUUUCUCUGAACCAGCUUCACCCGUUCCUAGUUACAAUCUCAGCAGAAUAAUAACUGAUAUU